rnacentral:rRNA from 1 species
GAUGAACGCUGGCCGCGUGCUUAACACAUGCAAGUCGAACGAAGCACCUUGAUUUGAUUCUUCGGAUGAAGAUCUUGGUGACUGAGUGGCGGACGGGUGAGUAACGCGUGGGUAACCUGCCUCAUACAGGGGGAUAACAGUUAGAAAUGACUGCUAAUACCGCAUAAGACCACAGCACCGCAUGGUGCAGGGGUAAAAACUCCGGUGGUAUGAGAUGGACCCGCGUCUGAUUAGGUAGUUGGUGGGGUAACGGCCUACCAAGCCGACGAUCAGUAGCCGACCUGAGAGGGUGACCGGCCACAUUGGGACUGAGACACGGCCCAAACUCCUACGGGAGGCAGCAGUGGGGAAUAUUGCACAAUGGGGGAAACCCUGAUGCAGCGACGCCGCGUGAGCGAUGAAGUAUUUCGGUAUGUAAAGCUCUAUCAGCAGGGAAGAAAAUGACGGUACCUGACUAAGAAGCACCGGCUAAAUACGUG